GUGAAAUGAUGCAUGUGUUAAGUGUGUCACCUACAUAAAACGUUUGGAAAGCUCUAUAAUAAACAAUACUUGGUCAGAUCAUAGUAUUCGUAUGCUAUUAUACAAAAGAUAAAUUUAGAUUCAAUAGCAAACCACAAUGGAGACUUAAUGAAUAUUUACUUGUGAAAGAAAACAAAAUAUACAUUUCAAAAUUAGUAUUGUUG